AGAGUUCCAUUCUGGCUCAGGAUGAACGCUGACAGAAUGCUUAACACAUGCAAGUCUACUUGAUCCUUCGGGUGAUGGUGGCGGACGGGUGAGUAACGCGUAAAGAACUUGCCUUGCAGUCUGGGACAACGUCUGGAAACGGACGCUAAUACCGGAUAUUAUGAUUGAAUCGCAUGAUUUGAUUAUGAAAGCUAUAUGCGCUGCGAGAGAGCUUUGCGUCCCAUUAGUUAGUUGGUGAGGUAACGGCUCACCAAGACGAUGAUGGGUAGCCGGCCUGAGAGGGUGAACGGCCACAAGGGGACUGAGACACGGCCCUUACUCCUACGGGAGGCAGCAGUGGGGAAUACUGGACAAUGGACCAAAAGUCUGAUCCAGCAAUUCUGUGUGCACGAUGAAGUUUUUCGGAAUGUAAAGUGCUUUCAGUUGGGAAGAAGAAAGUGACGGUACCAACAGAAGAAGCGACGGCUAAAUACGUGCCAGCAGCCGCGGUAAUACGUAUGUCGCAAGCGUUAUCCGGAUUUAUUGGGCGUAAAGCGCGUCUAGGCGGUUUGGUAAGUCUGAUGUGAAAAUGCGGGGCUCAACUCCGUAUUGCGUUGGAAACUGCCAAACUAGAGUACUGGAGAGGUAGGCGGAACUACAAGUGUAGAGGUGAAAUUCGUAGAUAUUUGUAGGAAUGCCGAUGGGGAAGCCAGCCUACUGGACAGAUACUGACGCUAAAGCGCGAAAGCGUGGGUAGCAAACAGGAUUAGAUACCCUGGUAGUCCUCGCCGUAAACGAUGAUUCUUAGGUGUUGGGGGUCGAACCUUCAGCGCCCAAGCCUACCGCGAUAAGUAAUCUGCCUGGGGAGUACGUACGCAAGUAUGAAACUCAAAGGAAUUGACGGGGACCCGCACAAGCAGUGGAGUAUGUGGUUUAAUUCGAAGCAACGCGAAGAACCUUACCAGGGCCUGACAUAAACAGGAAUAAUUUAGAGAUAGAUUAGCUCUUCGGGGCCUGGUUACAGGUGGUGCAUGGUUGUCGUCAGCUCGUGUCGUGAGAUGUUGGGUUAAGUCCCGCAACGAGCGCAACCCCUAUCCUUAGUAGCCAGCAAGUGAAGUUGGGCACUCUGAGGAGACUGCCAGGGAUAACCUGGAGGAAGGCGGGGAUGACGUCAAAUCAUCAUGCCCCUUAUGAUUUGGGCUACACACGUGCUACAAUGGCGUAAACAAAGGGAAGCGAGAGGGUGACCUGGAGCAAAUCCCAAAAAUAACGUCCCAGUUCGGACUGUAGUCUGCAACCCGACUACACGAAGCUGGAAUCGCUAGUAAUCGCGGAUCAGCAUGCCGCGGUGAAUAC
rnacentral:rRNA from 1 species